CGAGCGGAGCCUCGCUGCGACCCCGUCGGGCCCGUCGCGUCGCGUCCCGUCGGGUCCGUCCCGUCGGGCCAUGGCGGGGCUGGGCGCCGCCGCGCUGCUGCUGCUGAGCGCCGCGCUGGGCUGCGGCCAGUCCUUCCCCUUCCCCUUCCUGGACCCGGCGCUGCCCUGGCCCCGCCGCCUCGACGACCUCGUGGGCCGCCUCACCCCCGCCGAGAUGGUGCUGCAGGUGGCGAGGGGGGGCGCCCUGGGGAACGGCCCCGCGCCCCCCAUCCCGCGCCUCGGCAUCGGGCCCUACAACUGGAACACGGAGUGCCUGCGGGGCGACGCCGAGGCCCCCGGCUGGGCCACCGCCUUCCCCCAGGCGCUGGGGCUCGCCGCCUCCUUCAGCCCCGAGCUCGUCUACCGCGUGGCCAACGCCACCGCCACCGAAGUGAGAGCCAAGCACAACCAUUUCGCCGCCGCGGGCCGCUACGAGGACCACACGGGGCUCAGCUGCUUCAGCCCGGUGCUGAACAUCAUGCGGCACCCGCUGUGGGGCAGGAACCAGGAGACGUACGGGGAGGACCCGUUCCUCACCGCAGAGCUGGCCACGAGCUUCGUGCAGGGGCUGCAGGGCCAGCACCCGCGCUACAUCAAGGCUAGCGCCGGCUGCAAGCACUUCAGCGUGCACGGGGGCCCCGAGAACAUCCCCGUCUCCAGGCUCAGCUUCGACGCCAAGGUGCUGGAGCGGGACUGGCGCAUGACCUUCCUGCCCCAGUUCCAGGCUUGCGCACGCGCCGGCUCCUACAGCUUCAUGUGCAGCUACAACAGGAUCAACGGCGUCCCGGCCUGCGCCAACAAGAAGCUCCUGACGGACAUCCUGCGGGGCGAGUGGGGCUUCGAGGGCUACGUGGUGAGCGACGAGGGUGCCGUGGAGCUCAUCAUGCUGGGGCACCACUACACGCGCAGCUUCCUGGAGACAGCCGUGGCCGCGGUGAACGCCGGCUGCAACCUGGAGCUCUCCUACGGCCUGAAGAACAACGUCUUCAUGCACAUCACCGAGGCCUUGGCCACAGGCAACAUCACGCUGGAGACGCUGYGCGCCCGGGUCCGGCCCCUCUUCUACACGCGCCUGCGGCUGGGGGAGUUCGACCCCCCGGCCAUGAACCCCUACAGCGCCCUGGACCUGAGCGCCGUGCAGAGCCCUGCGCAUCGCGCCCUCGCGCUCGAAGCCGCCGUCAAGAGCUUCGUGCUGCUGAAGAACGCGGGGGACACGCUGCCCCUCCGGGCGCAGGACCUGCGGGGCCGGCGCGUCGCGGUCGUGGGCCCCUUCGCUGACAACCCCAAGGUCCUGUUUGGGGACUACGCGCCCGUCCCGGAGCCCCAGUACAUUUAUACGCCCCGGAGGGGUCUGGAGACGCUGCCAGCCACCAUCAGCUUCGCGGCGGGCUGCGGCGAGCCGCGGUGCCAGCAGUACUCGCCGGCCGAGGUGGAGGGAGCGGCGCGGGGAGCCGACGUGGUGGUGGUGUGCCUGGGCACGGGGACGGACGUGGAGACGGAGGCAAAGGACCGGGAGGACCUGUCGCUGCCYGGCCACCAGCUGGAGCUGCUGCAGGACGCCGUGCGUGCAGCUGCCGGGCGCCCCGUCGUGCUGCUGCUGUUCAACGCGGGGCCGCUGGACGUGAGCUGGGCGCAGGGGCACGACGGCGUGGGCGCCAUCCUGGCGUGCUUCUUCCCGGCGCAGGCUGCCGGCCUGGCCAUCGCCAGGGUGCUGCUGGGCGAGGAGGGGGCCAACCCCACCGGCCGGCUCCCGGCCACGUGGCCAGCCGGCAUGCACCAGGUGCCGCCGAUGGAGAACUACACCAUGGCGGGGCGGACGUACCGCUACUACGGGCAGGAGGCCCCGCUCUACCCCUUCGGCUACGGGCUCUCCUACACCACCUUCCGCUACCAGGAGCUGGUGCUGAGCCCCGCGGCGCUGCCCGCCUGCGCCAACCUCUCCGUGUCCGUGGUGGUGCAGAACACGGGGCGGCGGGACGGCGAGGAGGUGGUGCAGCUGUACCUGCGGUGGGAGCAGCCGUCCGUGCCGGUGCCCCGCUGGCAGCUGGUGGCCUUCCGCCGGGUGGCCCUGCCGGCGGGGCGGGCGGCCAAGCUGGCCUUCCAGGUGACGGCGGCGCAGCGUGCCGUCUGGGCGCCGCCGUGGCGCCUGGAGCCUGGCGCCUUCACGCUCUUCGCCGGCGGGCAGCAGCCGGGCCAGGAGACGCGCGCCGCCUCCGAGGUGCUCAGCGGGCGCUUCAGGGUGACCGGCGCUGCCCGGCCCCUGAGCCGCUGCUAGGGACGCGCACGGCCGCGGCGGGGGGACGCGGCGAGCUCGGGUGCCUGCCUUGCAAUAAAGCCUGCCCGGCGGCGCUCCCGCCCCA
ensembl:lncRNA probable beta-D-xylosidase 2